AAAAAGAGCACAAGACAUUGCGGGUGGACAUGACGAAAUCUGAGAAAAACAACCAUUUAUGCGAAAGUGGAACUGUCUUAAGAGCUUCACAGAAGAAAUUCAGAAGGAUGAAGUGACCUCCGCACUCUGCAUGACUCACUGAGAAAGGACUACGCGCUUCAGAAGAUCUUUAGUCUUCCCUUCCGCAGGAGGAGUGCAGUGAAUUGAUUUCGGACCUGGCUUAUCUAAACUGACAAAGACUGUGGACUCUGGGCUACUUUUGGAUUUAAACUCCUUCUUCUUCUUUGCUUUGCCAUCUUUGUUUUUGCAGGUAAGCUUCUGAAUGACCAUACUCAUAAGGCGCAAACAGACAUCCAACCCUCCUAGUCUAAAGAACUGCCUCUGGAACAAAGGGUUGGCCAGGUAGACGCACCGACACACCGACCAAACAUCUGCGGCCCGUCGUACUUGCUCUUUGGAUGGCAGGGUCACGCUGUCUGGGGACAGGUAAGCCAGCCGCCCGCCCAGAGGCUCACUGGCUGUACUGUCGUACCCUGAAGUGUCCUCAGAGUCAUUAGCUGAGUCCCGGUCAGAAUCAGCCUCUUUGCUAACACACAGGAAAGCAACACAGAGGAAAAGGUUAAUGACAUGGAGGUGGGUCUCUGCUUGGCUCCGCCCUGCUCCUCGUCCCUGCCCACUACGACUCUUAUGACGUGGAUAUCCCUCUUUUAGCCCCUCAUAGAACUUGCUAAGGCUCUGCGGGCCUUCUCCAGAUCCUCUUGACCCUGGAUCCUCAGCCAGGUUCGAGAUUGUCUGCUUCUGUUCGGCAACUGCAAUCUCCAGCUCCUGGAGGACGUUGUCCGCUUCCUGGCGUCCAAAACUGGUUAUUAGAGUCUCAAAUACCUUCAAAGCUAGAGAGCACGUCUGGUCAAGGUACACCAGUUCUGUCAUUUGGUUGAGCCCAUUGCAGCUGAUGAAGAGAUCUCGGAUCACCCUAUGAGAGAAAUAAUUUGGAUUACAAACUUUGUGAUUAAUUCACAAAGAAGCAAAUAAGUAAAAAUACAGCUGGACUGGCACAAUUUACAUGAAGACUAACACCUGUUUAUAACGGAACAAAAUAUAGUACAAGAAUGGACCAAUCCACGCAAUUUGUCAAGACCAGGUCCAUCAUUUAUAAAACUGUGUGAAUUCGUACAUAAAACAUUGCGUAAGCAAACACCUCUGACUGUACGUGCCUCCCCCAAAAAAUGAUCUUCAAAAUUGAUGAAUCAUCUUGAGCACACAGGCAUACACUCCUCCCAUAAAUCACUCCUGCAGUGAAAUGGGCGCAGAAAAGUUCCAACCUCGGUGUUCUCUCAUAAUCAUUCAUAAAUUGUCACGCAAAACAUGGUGAUGAGUUAAAGGGGAACUGCACUUUCUUUUUUAUUUUGCCUCUUGUUUAAAAUCAGUAUGAAAGACAUGACGACGGAUGGAUUUUUUAAAAUGCAUUCUAAGUAUUAAAUACACGUAAAUAAAAGUACGUUAAUGGGAGCUCCACUACUCCACCCAUAAAAUCUGAUAACUAACCAUCCAAAAAGCGCCAACAAUACUCAAUUUACAUUUCAUGAUUUGAAUAUUAACCAAGUGUUAGUGACAUUGUUAUCAUAAGAACUAAUGCAGACAAAUUAUUUAUAGUGUUGACGUUAUUACUUCUGUGUGUACCAAUGUUUACAUCAUUGAGUGGUCUGCUGUUUCCGCGCUUCCCUGCUCCCUGUAAGUUUAUUUCAGAUCAUAAAUCUUACCUCUCACCUGAAAAGUAGAUGGGUGAGAAUGUAAUUCGACAAGUUGGGACAGUUUGAUAACCAUUUAGGACCUGGAACUGGCGAAAAAGACAUGAAAAGCAGUUGUUCCCCCGCUUCCCCACUUUGUUUCUUGGUGAGGAGUGUGAGACAUUUUUCAUUUAAACCGGAAUAUAUGAACAAUGUAGCAGUCAGCAUCCUAAUGACAAAAUACCUUGUAUGAUAAGUGAUGUUUUAUUAAGUUUAUUGACUCUUACAAAAGUCUGCAGAGAGCAGAAAUCAGUGAUGAAGAAAAAAAAAGUGAACGUUCUGAUGCGUUUUUUAAAUUAAUGCGCCGCAUAUGCUUAAAAUGAUCAAAAUCCGUAAAUAUUAAAUGUUGAUGUAAAUGUGCCUGCUACUACAUUAAAUAUAUACUUACAUCAUGUCAAUAAAACCCUAACAGAGUUUUAGGGGCUCUGUAGGCAGAAUUGAACGGCUCCAUUGUAAGCUGACUUUUGAGCAUAUUGAUUUAAUAUUUGAAUGCAUUAAAUAAAAUCUAACCGUCGUAAUAUUCCUCAUAAUGAUUGUGAACAAUAGGCAAAAUGCCCCCCAAAAAGUUCCUCUUUAAAGGACUACCUAUUGGACUAUAAAAAGAAAAGCGUGUGUCAGUGUAGUGUAGUGUCAGCUCCAUCGUCCGAUGGAAAUAUGUUCAUGUUUUAGCCUGUUGUUUGCCAUGUAUUUAUCCAAAUAAUAUAUAUAUAUGUAUAUAUAUAUGUAUAUAUAAAUAUAUAUAUGUCUUUAUUUUGUCAAGUAAUACAAAGCAGAUAUUCUGUUCCAUGACACAAUGAUUAAUAUUUUAAGCUCUUGUGAGCAGUUAGCACGCAAGUAAGAUGAUUUCAAUAUAUUAUCAGCACAAUAAAUGUGUUUUUUGAACAGUUAUUUAUUUUCUACAAAUAUUUGACUUGUAAUAACAUUUUAGUGGUUGCAUGAAAUCCAAAUAUUUGUACUCCAACAGUAUUGUAAACUCCCAAAGUCUGACAUAUUAAAACAUGAUUUUUAUCUGAUGGACAAGCAGUAAAAAACGGAUGGAUGGAAAUAUUGUACCAUACUACAAUUCAUAUUUCCAUCCAUCCAUUUUCUACCGCUUGACCCUUUUUCGGUCGCGGGCGGUGCUGUUUGAAGAAGAGGAAAAAAAAACAAAAAGAAAAAAAAGCCACUGGUUCUUUGAAACACAGUCAAAGAACCUCCUGACCUAUGUAUUUAUGUUUUAUCAUUUAAUUAAAAAUAAUCAAAAUAAACAAUACUUCAAUGACAAACUACAUUAUAAAUACAUGUCAAAUAUAACUAACUUAAUACAGCUUCAUACUUAGAUUGUUAUGGUUGCAAUAAAUAAUAUACCAAUUUUUCUAGAAUUGCAUAAAUGCUUAUAUAUUGUGAAAUAUAUAGUAUGUAUUUUAUAGUGCAUAUGUGUUUUUAUGCGAGUAUGAGCUUUAUUAUUUUGGUGUACAAUUGGGCCUUGCUUAUUCCCAUGGCAGAAAAAGUUUAGGUGAGUUCUAAGCAUAUAUGUUUUCUAUAAAUACCAACAUACUGUAUGUGGUGAAAGUUAUUUAUGUACAUUUACAAAAGAGCAUUAGUAUCUGUGCAAUGCGCAGUGGCUUGUGAUCUCUGUGAUUGAAAGCUCCUGUUUAACUCAGUUCAUUUAGUAAUGAUGCAGUUUAAUUCUAAAAGAUAUUGUAUAUUUUUUGUUAACUAUCUUACUUUCCUCUGGAUUAUUGCAUUAUUGAUGCUAAUGUGAUACCACACUAAAGAGAAUAAAUGUUUUAAACAGAUUACAUAUCCCAAAACCAGUGAAAUUGGCACGUUGCGUAAAUCAUAAAUAGAAACAGAAUACAAUGAUUUACAAAUCCUUUUCAACCUAUAUUCAAUUGAAUACACUGCAAAGACAAGACACUUAACGUUCGAACUGGUAAACUUUGAUAUUUUUUGCAAAUAUUAGCUCAUUUGGAAUUUGAUGCCUGCAAAACGUUUCAAAAAAGCUGGCACAAGUGGCAAAACAGACUGACAAAGUUGAGGAAUGCUGAUCAAACACUUAUUUGGAACAUCCCUUAGGUGAAAAAGCUAAUAUGGAAUAGGUAGGUGACAUAAUUGGGUAUAAAAGCAGCUUCCAUGAAAUGCUCAGUCAUUCACAAACAAGGAUGAAGCGAGGGUAAAGUUUACCCCUUUGUAAACAAAUGUGUGAGCAAAUUGUCAACAGUUUAAGAACAUUUCUCAACGAGCUAUUGCAAGGAAUUUAGGGAUUUCACCAUGUACGGUCAAAAGAUUCAGAGAAUCUGGAGAAAUCACUACACGUAAGCAGCAAGGCUGAAAAUCAACAUUGAAUGCCCGUGAUCUUUGAGCCCUCAGGCGGUACUGCAUCAAAAACUGUCAUCAGUGUGUAAAGGAUAUCAUCACAUGGGCUAAGGAACACUUUAGAAAACCACUGCCAGUAACUACAGUUUGUUACUACAUCGGUAAGUGCAAAUUAUAAAACGCUACUGUGCAAAGCGAAAGCCAUUUAUCAACAACACCCAUAAACGCCGCUGGCUUCGCUGGGCCUGAGCUCUUCAAAGAUGCUAAAUGGUAAGUGGGUUGUACUUGUAUAGCACUUUUUCAUCUAAGAUGAACUGAUGCAAAGUGGAAAAGUGUUCUGUGGUCUGACGAGUCCAAAUUUCAAAUUGUUUUUGGAAACUGUGGACGUUGUGUCCUCCGGACCAUUGGGAAAAAGAAUCAUCCGGACGGUUAUAGGCGCAAAGUUCAAAAGCCAGCAUCUGUGAUUGUAUUGGGGGUGUAUUAGUGCCCAAGGCAUGGGUAACUUACACAUCUGUGAAGGCACCAUUAAUACUAAAAGGUACGUACAGGUUUUGGAACAACAUAUGUUGCCAUCCAAGCAACGUUUUUUGCUUAUUUCAGCAAGACAAUGCCAAGCCACAUUCUGCACGUGUUACAACAGCGUAGCUUUGUAGUAAAAGAGUGCAGGCACUAGACUGGCCUUCCUACAGUCCAGACCUGUCUCCAAUUGAAAAUGUGUGGCGCAUUAUGACUGUUGAAAAACAUAAGCUGUACAUCAAGCAAGAAUGGGAAAGAAUUCCACCUGUAAUGCUUCAAAAAUUGGUCUCCUAAGUUCCCAAAUGUUUACUGAGUGUUGUUAAAAGGAAAGGCCAUGUAACACAGUGGUAAAAAUGCUCUGUGGCAACUUUUUUGCAAUGUGUUGCUGUCAUUAAAUUCUAAGUUAAUGACUUGCAAAAAAAAAAUAUCUUGUCUUUACAGUGUAUUCAAUUAAAUAUAAGUUGAAACAAAUGUGCUAAUAAUUGUAUUCUGUUUUUAUUUACGAUUUAGACAAUGUGCCAUGUGUAAACCAGAUUCCUUUAUGAAAAGGAACUUACCCGAGUCACAACUUUCUCAGCCAAAGAAGUGCAUUAAAAUUAUUUUAUUAAACUAAAGAAAAGCCUCCUCUGAUGCUUCACUACUGUACGUGCUACAUAAUGCAAGCCAUCCAUAGUCAGGUCACCUGCGAGUCACAAAGCCAUGGUAAAUUAUUAAUUUGCAUCAAUUAGCAAUGACACAGUUGAACCGAUCUAAUGACAAUCCAAGCAGAUUCAAGGAGUAGGCUGAUAUGUAAUCUACGUGUGAUAAAGAGAAAGAUGACCCCAAAAAGGAAUAAGAGGAUGGAUGGAUGUAUGUAUCGGUCAAAUGCAAAACAGAAAAAUAGGGAAGCACCUGGUGAAGUUUUAGUCUUCAAGUAGAUUAUCAUUAAUUUGAUGGAAUAGAAUGGAUCAUCAAAACGCUAUAAGCUAAAUAUAUUAUUUAAAUCAAACUUAACACCCCAAAGUAGUGGAAAUAAAAUUAUAUAGACAACAACAACUGUGAGCUUACCUCGAUUUAAGGAGGGCAGGUAAUGCUUGCAGGUAUAUGAGUAACACCUCCACAGGUAGGCACUGAGUGUGAUAGCUACAGACUUGGGUACAAACUGUAGAAACCCCAAGCUGCAGUGCAUGGUGGGCUAGCUCUACCCCUCGCUGCAGCACAGGACUGAAGAUGUGUGUGUACAGCUGCCACUGCACUACGGCAUUGCCGCGCAGUGUCAGGUGGCACACAUGACCAGCUACCUGCUGGCUCAGCUGUCGGUCCUCUCCAAACACUAGUUUUUGGUAAGCCUCAAGGGCAUCCCACUUCCACAACAUGUCCUCUGCGCCCCCUCCACUCGGUAGAAUCCCCUGGGAACGGUAGCACAGGCUAGUAGAAAGACCUGAAGGUUCCCCAUGCUGUAGUGUCUCCUCCAGAAUUGGCAACUGACUCUGGUCCAGAGAGCAAAUGUUACACGAAGCAAGCUUCGCUCUCUCUGAAGGCUGUCCCCCACCAAGCUGUUCUAGAAUCAGUCUACCCAGAACACUGAGAACAUGAGACUGGUAACUUCGCAGAUCUGGAGCUUGGAAGGCAUCCAACAGUGGUCUUAUCACGGAACGAGGGUCCAUGCAACAGCAGAUACCAACAGCCUGCACCCCGGCCAGCACCUGCAACACAGCUGGUCCACUUGGCGACAAGCGUUGCAGAAGCCGUAGACAUUGGUGAGCGCAGGCUGCCAGGCAGCAGCAGCGCUCAGGGUAACACACUGCAUCACCCUCCAUGCCUUCUUUCCCUUCAGUGUCCUCUUCGAAAGGGUUGCGCCAGGCAACCUUCUUAAAAGCAGAAGCAGGCAAACCUGACAGAUCUCUGUGAUGAUGCAGGAAGUGGGAAUAUUCACAGCGACGGUGACGACGUCGGGCACACACAGACUGAUGCAGCUGCUCCGACUUUGCUUUCUUGACUGCACUGAUGAUCUUGAAGACCCCUGCAACUAAACCUCGUAGCCUUUCUGAAGCCUCACCUCCUAUUUCCGAAUCCCGAGCCCUACCAAGUUCCUCUAAUCGCAGCACUGUAGCUUCAAACAGCUCCAGACCACGGUGUUGGACAAAUUCAUGGAUGAGAUCUAGUGCUUGGCUAAAGAAAAAGGGGUUGGGAGUGGAGGCCUGCAGGCAACUCAGAAGAACUUGCAGUACCCCUUCUAGAAGCUCAGGCAGCAAUAGUGCUCUGUGACGAAAACGUGAAAAAGAGAAAUCAUCUUGGACUUCCUGUAGGGUCUUUUUUGGUCGAGGAGCAAAUGGGUUUGUCUGUCUGUCAAGGCAGCUUCGGAUCUUCAGUGUUGCACGAAGCAGAUCGGUUAGGCUGCGUCUGAGGCUAUCAGGAAGCUUUUCACUUUGACUGACAUCAACUGACAUCAGGUGCAAGAUGGUGCGUAGAAGCAUCCUCUGGACCAGUGCAAUGGGCUCUUCUGUCCAGCCCCCAGCAAGCUCCUCCACGCCUGUACCACCACUGCUUCCUGGACCACAACAAUCUCCAAACUCAGUCAGGAUCUCAGUAAGAGUUGGUACAACACUGACUGCCAGGCUGGGAUUGUGAUUUAUGCUCAUGUCAAACUUACACACUUUUUCCAGUAACGAAAGUAAGACAUAACAUAGAUCAAAGGGUGAGUUCUCCAUGCGGUUAAAAAUGGACAUGGCAGCUGGGUCUGUUAAGGUUUCAGUGUCCAUUGUCUGUGAUCCAUGGACCCUGGGAUGAGGGUAUGGUGCACUCAUGGUUUCAGUGGUUGCUGUGGCCGUUAAUUGUGUAGUGUCUAAACGAUGAUGUUGACAAUUUACCCGGAUGGUAGAGCCAUGGGACCUUCUACUCCUUGAGCCACCUGGGCCUGAUUUGUCUUCAGUGUUGGCUUCGGAAUCUGAGGUACCGCUGCCAACACGUGGCCUCUUUCCAGAUUCCUGGUCAUCUACACCAGUCUUCUGUCCUGCUCUGAGAGGCACGGCCUUAACCUCCCGGCUGAGGAACACUUCCAAUAGAGACGGCAGGGUGAAAUCUGUUGACGUAAAACAUAUUGUUAUUGGGAUCUUCCAAACCAGAGGGAGUAGCGACAGCAGCAAAGUGAGCAGUUCCUCUCGGCAAGUCAACUCCUUCGAGUGCAAGAAAACACACUAAGCGCAAAUUCCAUUAAAUUGGAAUUUCAAAUGGAGGCUUUCCAGAUUCGCAGCAGAUCAGCGUAUCACAUGAAAGAAAGCAUGUGAUGUCACAUGGCAAGGGGACCGGCCUUGGGAAUACUGACGAGCCUCCAGUGACCCACAGAGGACCUCUGUAACAGGCCAUUACUCACAAAAACUGCAUUUGUAAUUCCCCACUAUGAAUGUCUAGGCCAUGAGCUAUACAGUGAUGCAAAAAGUACUACAUUCUACACUAAGACCAAGACUAAAAUCGUAUUAUAUGUCUGCUUAUUGUAAAUGUUUCAUUAUUUCUCAGUUAGUCAGCCUGUAUACAUUAUUAGGCGCCGUACUUACUAUUAUUGAGGCUCAUUGACUUUGGCCUGAACACAAUAAAUUGGCAUUGCUUUUCUAUUGUUACAUACAGUAGAACUAUGUGCAAUUUUUUCCACAUUCUGUGCAUAUAGGUGAUGUGCAUCACCUUGGACGUAUCCUCGCUCAUCCAUGCGGACUGGACACUGGCCGAGAGUGGAGUCGGCUGUCUUGGUUGCUUUUUGGAUCUGCUUCUGUCUCUGGCCAUGCUCCCUCCUCCCCAGCGGACGAUGGCGUGGAACACCGCAGAGGCCACCACAGUGGAUAUGUUUCUUUUACUUUUUAUUCAUAGCUGUAUGUAAAAGUGUCUGGUUGUAUCUGCUGCUUUAAUGUCUUUAAUAUCCUUUGUGUUCUUUGAUGUUUGAUGUUUCCCUCUUACACACAUGGAAGAGGGAUGUGUACUAUGGCUAUGAGUUGUUCUUUUCCCUUGGCCUCAGUCUGCACCCCCAUUCCAGGGCCUAGGCUAAGACCGAUUUUUUUUUUAUUUUUUUUUUUUUUUUCCAUCCAUCCAUCCAUCAUCUUCCGCCUAUCCGAGGUCGGGUCGCGGGGGCAGCAGCCUAAGCAGGGAAGCCCAGACUUCCCUAUCUCCAGCCACUUCGUCUAGCUCUUCCCGGGGGAUCCCGAGGCGUUCCCAGGCCAGCCGGGAGACAUAGUCUUCCCAACGUGUCCUGGGUCUUCCCCGUGGCCUCCUACCAGCUGGAGGGGCGCUGGAAGCCGGCAGACCCGUCAGCGAUCCUGUUCUGUCUCCCUGUAAUGUUUGUCUGAUCUUGAAUGGGAUUGUGCUGAAAAUUGUAAUUUUCCUGAAGGAACUCUCCUGACGGAAUAAAUAAAGUACUAUCUAAUCAUCUAA